rnacentral:rRNA from 1 species
AACGUAGGAGGCAAGCGUUAUCCGGAGUUACUGGGCGUAAAGCGCAUGUAGGCGGUUUGACAAGUGGCGUGUGAAAGCUCCCGGCUAAACUGGGAGAGGACACGUCAGACUGUCAGGCUAGAGGAUGCUAGAGGGGCGCAGAAUUCGGGGUGUAGCGGUGAAAUGUGUAGAGAUCCCGAGGAAUACCAGUGGUGAAGACGGCGCCCUGGGGCAUUGUCGAAAGACGUACUGACGCUGAGAUGCGAAAGCGUGGGGAGCGAACGGG